UAGAUACCCUGGUAGUCCACGCCGUAAACGAUGAUUACUAGUUGUAUGCGAUAUACCGUAUGUGACUAAGCGAAAGCGAUAAGUAAUCCACCUGGGGAGUACGCCGGCAACGGUGAAACUCAAAGGAAUUGACGGGGGCCCGCACAAGCGGAGGAACAUGUGGUUUAAUUCGAUGAUACGCGAGGAACCUUACCCGGGCUUGAAAUGCAGAAGAAUAACGUUGAAAGAUGUUAGCCAGCAAUGGCUUCUG
rnacentral:rRNA from 1 species